GGGCGCUUAGCUCAGUUGGUAGAGCACCUGACUUUUAAUCAGGUUGUCACAGGUUCGAUCCCUGUAGCGCCUACCA
rnacentral:tRNA from 1 species